AUGUUAAUUUGUAAAAUCCUUAAAUCUACCUAUUAACUUAGAAAAUUGGACUUCUUAAUGGAUAUUGAAAAAUACAGAAACAUAUUCUAGACAAAAGAGUUAUAGUACAUUUUAACCCAACAUACAUUAUUAAUAGAACUAAUUAUUAACAAUGGACCGUGUAUUACCUGUGACUUUUAUUUGAUAUGUGACCUUUUCUUUAAAAAAAAUCAUCGAAUAAAAAAAACUACAACUUUACCUUCUCCACUUCUCUUAACGACUGCAUCUACAUAAAGAAAGAACAACAAUUGAUCGGAAGCUGAUACAAAUGGAACACAUAUCAGACGGAACUACAAUGAUCCCAAUCCAACGGAAAAAGGGUAUCAAAGGACGAACGGUUUCAUAGGAGCAUCUAAAGAAAACAAAAAUGAAGCUGAAGCGGCGGUGGGAGAUAAUAUUGGUAAGUUGCUGGGAAUCCAUUGAUCUGUAGAAGCAGCCCACCUGACUUUUGUUCUGGAUAUCACCUGUUCAAGUCCUCUUUCUGUUUCUUUGAGCUUCUCAUCGGGUAAAACUCUCUUUCUUGCUUUGAAUUUUUCUUACACAAAUUUCUUUGAGAUACUCAUUGUAAUAAAUCAUUUCAUUCAUCAUUCUUGUUAUUGUCUGUCACAAUAGAAAAAUAAUUAUAAUUGUAAAAUGAUGAAAGAUAUUAGUCACAGUCAAUACAAAACGUUACAAUACACAUAUAACUCUUGUACUAAUACAGUAUUGAGUUGUCUUAUAAAUGAGGAACUAUCUUGAUUGUUCUUAUGGAAUUGAUUUUAAUGUCCUGUAGGAAUAACAGGAUACAUCGUUGUUAGUAUCAACAGACAGAAAAUUAAAUUGAAAACAUGUACUUACUUGAUGUCUUGAAGAGUAACAGCAUAGGUUUCAUCCUUGGUUUGCAUGAACAAUGAAUUGUUUUUAGCUCUCCCUAAUUAAUAACCUGGCCCAUCAAGUCUGUAAAAAAAACAUAGUGGUCGAAAAUGUUUUUUUUUUCAAAUCAA